rnacentral:rRNA from 1 species
AUACGUAGGUGACAAGCGUUAUCCGGAUUUACUGGGCGUAAAGGGCGUGUAGGCGGUCUUGCAAGUCAGAAGUGAAAUUCCUGAGCUCAACUCGGGCGCUGCUUCUGAAACUGCAGGACUUGAGUGCUGGAGGGGAUAGCGGAAUUCCUAGUGGAGCGGUAAAAUGCGCAGAUAUUAGGAAGAACACCGGUGGCGAAGGCGGCUAUCUGGAAAGUAACUGACGCUGAGGCGCGAAAGCGUGGGGAGCAAAAAGGAUUAUAUGCCCUGGUAGUCCCCGCCGUAAACGAUGAAUACUAGGUGUAGGGGGUAUCGACUCCCUCUGUGCCGCAGUUAACACAAUAAGUAUUCCACCUGGGGAGUACGAUCGCUAGAUUGAAACUCAAAGGAAUUGACGGGG